AAAUGCUCGCGUCUUGACGGUACCUCAUGAAUAAGGGACGGCUAACUCCGUGCCAGCAGCCGCGGUAAUACGGAGGUCCCAAGCGUUGUUCGGAAUUACUGGGGCGUAAAGGGAGCGCAGGCGGAUAGUUAAGUCUAAAGUGGAAGCCCCGGGGCUCAACCUCGGAACUGCUUCGGAUACUGGCUAUCUUGAGUUCGUGAGAGGAAAGCGGAAUUCAGGGUGUAGCGGUGAAAUGCUUAGAUAUCCUGAGGAACACCAAUGGCGAAGGCAGCUUUCUGGCGCGAUACUGACGCUGAGGCUCGAAAGCGUGGGGAGCGAACGGGAUUAGAUACCCCGGUAGUCCACGCCGUAAACGUUGUGCGCUAGGUGUAGGAGGUAUCGACCCCUUCUGUGCCGCAGCUAACGCAUUAAGCGCACCGCCUGGGGAGUACGGUCGCAAGACUGAAACUCAAAGGAAUUGACGGG
rnacentral:rRNA from 1 species